rnacentral:misc_RNA from 1 species
AAGGAUCAUUACAGAGUUCAUGCCCUCACGGGUAGAUCUCCACCCUUGAAUAAUACUAUUGUUGCUUUGGCGGAUCGCUUCGGCUAUCGACUUCGGUUGGUAUGUAUCCGCCAGAGAACCACAAACUUUGAAUUACAGUGUCGUCUGAGUACUAUAUAAUAGUUAAAACUUUCAACAACGGAUCUCUUGGUUCUG